rnacentral:rRNA from 1 species
CCCCUAGAUGUUCUGGGCCGCACGCGUGCUACACUGACACUUACACCGAGUUUUUCCAAUGCCGAAAGGCCAUUGGUAAUCAGCAAUAAGUGUCGUGAUGGGGAUAGAUCUUUGGAAUUAUUGAUCUUGAACGAGGAAUGCCUAGUAAUCGUAGGUCAUCAGCCUGCGAUGAUUACGUCCCUGCCCUUUGUACACACCGCCCGUCGCUCCUACCGAUUUCGAGUGGUUCGGUGAACCUUUCGGACCGGCAAUGCCUCGUGUUGCGCCGGAAAGUCAAGUAAACCAUAUCACUUAGAGGAAGGAGAANUCGUANCA